GCCAAGGCCAGCAGAAAAGCUCAGGGCUAUUCAACUAUAUUUUACCGGGGGCCAAAUUUGUCAGAAUACUAUGAUCUGUGGGCUGGACAUUCUCGUGACCUGUACUAUUACUCUCGGAUGUA